AAUAUUGCACAAUGGGCGCAAGCCUGAUGCAGCCAUGCCGCGUGUGUGAAGAAGGCCUUCGGGUUGUAAAGCACUUUCAGUCGUGAGGAAGGUAGUGUAGUUAAUAGCUGCAUUAUUUGACGUUAGCGACAGAAGAAGCACCGGCUAACUCCGUGCCAGCAGCCGCGGUAAUACGGAGGGUGCGAGCGUUAAUCGGAAUUACUGGGCGUAAAGCGCAUGCAGGUGGUUUGUUAAGUCAGAUGUGAAAGCCCGGGGCUCAACCUCGGAAUAGCAUUUGAAACUGGCAGACUAGAGUACUGUAGAGGGGGUAGAAUUUCAGGUGUAGCGGUGAAAUGCGUAGAGAUCUGAAGGAAUACCGGUGGCGAAGGCGGCCCCCCUGGACAGAUACUGACACUCAGAUGCGAAAGCGUCGGGGAGCAAACAGGAUUAGACUACCCUGGUAG
rnacentral:rRNA from 1 species